AGGUGGAAGUGUGGUGACACAUGGAGCUGACGAAUACUAAUCGGUCGAGGACUUAACCACAUUU
rnacentral:rRNA from 1 species